rnacentral:lncRNA from 1 species
CCUGCCUGCUGCCUUUGCAUCCCGUCCUGUGCGGACCACCAUGGACGUGCAGGCGCAGAGGCCACCUUUGUUGGAAGUGAAGAGGAAUGUAGAGCUGAAGACAAGCCUGGUCAAGUUCUCCUCCCGAGUGCCCCGUCAGCAAGCAGGCUCAAGAGAGGUCCUGACCAGAUGGAGGAUGCCUUGGAGCCCGUAAAGAAACGGACACGAGGCAUGGGUGCAGUGACCAAAGUUGACAUAUCCCGUCCCAGAGGACCACUCUUCAGCACAGUGUCACAGACCCAGGGCCACACUGCAGCUCAGAAAGGCCCUAAGAAGGCAGGACCUCGUGGGUGCUCUACUGUUGGUACAGUGCUGAGGAACCAGAAGCCAGCUCCCACUGUUCCUGCCCAGAAGCCUGGCACAUCCACUGCUCCUGUAGUGGUAAGGAAGAGACCUGGCAAACGCCCUUGCCUGGGACCUGAAGGGCCAGUUGUUUGACCUCAGUGAAGAGUUGAAACGCUAUCGGGAGAAGACUCAAACGCUGGAACGGGAGAACCGGGGGCUUCGGAAACAUCUCAGAGAGGUCCAGGAGCAGGCCACGACCCUGGGGACAGAGCAGAGCACCCUGGAAGGGGAGCUGGCCAAUGUACGCACCCGAGCUGAGCAGGACCAGCAGAGACUGGAGAUGCUGAGUGCCUGUGUCUUGGAGCUGGAGGAAUAUCUGGGUACCACGGAAAGGUUGGUUCAGGAGCUUCAGAGAGAGCGGCUG